AGGCGACCCGCCGCUUCCCGCAUGCGCUGCCUGACGCCGGGUUGGAGUGCACGGGAACGACCGAACCUGCGCAGGACGCGUGGAGACCUCCCGCCGGCUCUUUGCCAGAGGCCUGGCUCCGCGCUGGCCCGACAUUCAUCUUGCAUGGCAGGCGUCCCCAAGAGGCGGGGACGGGCGAGACCGCCCCCUUAUCGCUGAGCAGCAGCCGGCGAGGCCCGCGGCGGGUCUGGAGGCUGAGAAGUUCAAGAUCAAGGCACCUGCACAUUCAAUGACUGGGUAGAAUCUUCCAUGGAAGUGCCUUGUGUGUGUGUCCUUCUCUUACUGUGCCCUUGGGUGUGGCCUACCCAGGUGUCACUCAACCUGCUUGGACUUAAUGAAGAUAGACUCAGCCCCCUGAAACCUGACCCCUUGCCUCAUUUGAAUAGCUUCUCAAUAAAAGGGGUCAGCACGUGCUCUUGUUCUCUCUCUUCCUGUGGACCCUUAGGGUCAGAGGAGCUGUCACAGCGACCCCGAAGAAAAAGGUA